UACGUAGGGUGCAAGCGUUGUCCGGAAUUAUUGGGCGUAAAGAGCUCGUAGGCGGUCUGUUACGUCGGCUGUGAAAACCUGGGGCUCAACCCCGGGCCUGCAGCCGAUACGGGCAGACUAGAAUUCGGUAGGGGAGACUGGAAUUCCUGGUGUAGCGGUGGAAUGCGCAGAUAUCAGGAGGAACACCGGUGGCGAAGGCGGGUCUCUGGGCCGACAUUGACGCUGAGGAGCGAAAGCAUGGGGAGCGAACAGG
rnacentral:rRNA from 1 species